rnacentral:rRNA from 1 species
UACAGAGGUCCCAAGCGUUGUUCGGAUUCAUUGGGCGUAAAGGGUGCGUAGGCGGCGCGGUAAGUCGGGUGUGAAAUCUCGGGGCUUAACUCCGAAACUGCAUUCGAUACUGCCGUGCUUGAGGACUGGAGAGGAGACUGGAAUUUACGGUGUAGCGGUGAAAUGCGUAGAUAUCGUAAGGAAGACCAGUGGCGAAGGCGGGUCUCUGGACAGUUCCUGACGCUGAGGCACGAAGGCCAGGGGAGCGAACGGG